UUGCAACCGGGUAGUAGCUUGCUAUCUUUGCCGGCGAGCGGCGGACGGGUGAGUAAUGCCUAGGGAUCUGCCCAGUCGAGGGGGAUAACAGUUGGAAACGACUGCUAAUACCGCAUACGCCCUACGGGGGAAAGGAGGGGACCUUCGGGCCUUCCGCGAUUGGAUGAACCUAGGUGGGAUUAGCUAGUUGGUGAGGUAAUGGCUCACCAAGGCGACGAUCCCUAGCUGUUCUGAGAGGAUGAUCAGCCACACUGGGACUGAGACACGGCCCAGACUCCUACGGGAGGCAGCAGUGGGGAAUAUUGCACAAUGGGGGAAACCCUGAUGCAGCCAUGCCGCGUGUGUGAAGAAGGCCUUCGGGUUGUAAAGCACUUUCAGUAGGGAGGAAAGGUAGCAGCUUAAUACGCUGUUCUGUGACGUUACCUACAGAAGAAGGACCGGCUAACUCCGUGCCAGCAGCCGCGGUAAUACGGAGGGUCCGAGCGUUAAUCGGAAUUACUGGGCGUAAAGCGUGCGCAGGCGGUUUGUUAAGCGAGAUGUGAAAGCCCCGGGCUCAACCUGGGAAUUGCAUUUCGAACUGGCGAACUAGAGUCUUGUAGAGGGGGGUAGAAUUCCAGGUGUAGCGGUGAAAUGCGUAGAGAUCUGGAGGAAUACCGGUGGCGAAGGCGGCCCCCUGGACAAAGACUGACGCUCAGGCACGAAAGCGUGGGGAGCAAACAGGAUUAGAUACCCUGGUAGUCCACGCCGUAAACGAUGUCUACUCGGAGUUUGGUGUCUUGAACACUGGGCUCUCAAGCUAACGCAUUAAGUAGACCGCCUGGGGAGUACGGCCGCAAGGUUAAAACUCAAAUGAAUUGACGGGGGCCCGCACAAGCGGUGGAGCAUGUGGUUUAAUUCGAUGCAACGCGAAGAACCUUACCUACUCUUGACAUCCACAGAAUUCGCUAGAGAUAGCUUAGUGCCUUCGGGAACUCUGAGACAGUGCUGCAUGGCUGUCGUCAGCUCGUGUGUGAAAUGUGGUUAGUCCCGCAACGAGCGCACCCCUAUCCUUAUUUGCCAGCACGUAAUGGUGGGACUCUAGGAGACUGCCGGUGAUAACCCGGAGGAGGUGGGGACGACGUCAAGUCCAUCAUGGCCCCUUACGAGUAG
rnacentral:rRNA from 1 species